rnacentral:rRNA from 1 species
CCUACGGGAGGCUGCAGUGAGGAAUAUUGGUCAAUGGCCGAGAGGCUGAACCAGCCAAGUCGCGUGAGGGAAGAAUGUCCUAUGGAUUGUAAACCUCUUUUGUCAGGGAGCAAAGUCACCCACGUGUGGGUGUUGGAGAGUACCUGAAGAACAAGCAUCGGCUAACUCCGUGCCAGCAGCCGCGGUAAUACGGAGGAUGCGAGCGUUAUCCGGAUUUAUUGGGUUUAAGGGGUGCGUAGGCGGGUUAUCAAGUCAGCGGUAAAAUCGUGGGGCUCAACUCCAUCCAGCCGUUGAAACUGGUGGUCUUGAGUGGGCGAGAAGUAUGCGGAAUGCGUGGUGUAGCGGUGAAAUGCAUAGAUAUCACGCAGAACUCCGAUUGCGAAGGCAGCAUACCGGCGCCCGACUGACGCUGAGGCACGAAAGCGUGGGUAUCGAACAGGAUUAGAUACCCCUGUAGUC